ensembl:snRNA U6 U6 spliceosomal RNA
GUAUUCAUUUCAGCAGCACAUAUACUCAAACAAUAUAGAACAAUGUAGAGAUGAUUUGCAUGGCUCCUGCAUAAGUAUGACAUGCAAAUUUGUGAAAGUCAAUAUUUUUAU